GGGCUUGUGGCGCAGUGGUAGCGCGCCUGCUUUGCAAGCAGAGGGGUUCGAAUCCCCUCAAGUCCA
rnacentral:tRNA from 1 species